CGCUGUCGCAACGUGGCCGGUGGCUGACGUUCUCAAACGGCAUCCAACGGCAUCACUGCUUCCCGCUUCACUGUGCUCAACUGUGCUUCCAGCUUUAUGUAAUAGAAGUCUGUGCACCGGAUGAGGCAUGGCGGAUUUAUAGAUACUUUGUGUGAUGUGUGUAGAGAAAGUCUGUGCUUUAAAACUUUAUUGUAACACAUUUUACAACACGCUAAAUAACCUAACGGCGUUCCUACAGAGGGAGAACAAAAAAAAAAUUUUACAACAUUUUACAUACUAUUGUAUCUCUUGUUGAAUAACUUACAAAAAUGGAUCAAGAGGAUGAAAGCAACAGAGAUAAUUUUACGAUCAACUGCAAUGCGGAAGAUAAAUCGCUUGCUAGAAAAGAAAUUGCCAAGACCGAAGUUGAAAGACUCUGCAAAAAGGUUAAGAGAGGAAUAAUUUAUUUGUCCACAAUUCCGAAAUACAUGAACGUCACGAUGAUCCGGGAGAUGUUUUCGGAUUACGGUCAAGUAGGCAGGGUGUAUCUGCAGCUAGCUGAUAAUGAGGCACAUUCAAUGAAACAUAAAAAGAAAUCCAAGAAAGCAGUCAAGGAUUUCACUGAAGGUUGGAUAGAGUUUGAAAGCAAGAAAGUAGCCAAAUUUGUAGCGCAGACGUUAAAUAACACUCAAGUAUCUACAAGAAAGAAGAGCAAGUUCUACGAUGUUGUGUGGAAUAUUAAAUACUUACCAAGAUUUAAAUGGAUCCAUUUGAGUGAACGUUUAGCAUAUGAACGUGCAGUUCAUAAACAAAGACUUCUAACAGAAAUUGCACAAGCUAAAAGAGAGGUCAACUUCUUUUCGUAUAAUGUAGAGAAAAGUAAAAAGCUGCGUAAGAAAAAAGAGCGAGGGGAGGAGAAACCAUUUAAAUUGCCUGAAGUUAAACAAAGGGAGACUGAUAAUGAGAUAAGGAACAGGAAAGCGAAGACACAUAUAGAAGACAGAACAGAGUUCCUUAAAUCGAUAUUUGGAUAAAGUUUAUGAAUUGUGCUACACAACAUUGUAUAGGAUGAUCAAAACUAGAUAUAUUGUGGGUAAAUAAUCAUCAUUUAUUCAAAAGAAAAUUGUGGAAAUAUAAUAAUAUUCAACAAGCAAAAAAUUUUUUUAAGAGAAAGGCGUGGAUUGUAAUUGAAGAAGAAUCCAAGAUAUCAUUAGAAGUUAUGUAGCAAUUAUCGCAAGCUUUAUGUCUACAAUGUUGAUGUUACGUACAACAAGUAGGAAUAAAACAACAAACAGGUAAUGAAAAAAUAGAAAUAGAGUAAUUUUUAUUUUAGUUUUUGUUUUAUAAAAUUAUUUGUUUUUUAACUAUCAGAUAAUUACCGUCAAUUAUUUACUAAAAUCUCGUGCUGACAUGAAAGGAGAUGUAUUGCAAAAUAUAAAUAACAGCACUGAUAGCAUUUUUUAUUGGCAGAACUGGUGUACACUGAGUACACACUAAGACUUGUACAUAAUGUACAUACAGAGUCAGGUCUUAAUUUAAGAAUUGUAUUAAAUACUUUUUGAAGUAUGUCUUAGCCAGUAAAAUGAUUUAUACAGCAUCCGUACGAAUUAUUGUUUGGCUAGAUAAUUUUCGAACAUGUAUUUAAGACAACCUUCAAUAAGUAUUGACUAUGAACAAGCUUUAGUAUGCAUUCAGUACGUAUAUUUUACAGCAAGUUUUCAUUGGAACAAUUCUGCCAAUAGAGAACGCUAUGAGUUUUCCAUCAAAAACAUUGUAACAGAAGUUGAAAGGGAAAGAAAUGUAGAAACUACAUAUAAAAUAAAGCUUUUGUAUCAAAGAAAGCUUUUGUAAUUUCUAACAGCAUGAGCAAGUUAAAUAAUAAUUUUGUCUCUUUAUUAAAGACAUUUCAAUAAUUUUAUUAUUCUUUAUUUUUUGAAAUUGCAACUUCAAAUAUGAAAAUGGAAAUUGUCUGUAAUUAUAGAAAAUGAUGGUUAAAACUAAAGAAUAAAGAACAUACUUUUCUUGGUAUUCAGUUGCCAAAUCUGCAUUGACAGGGAUGAAUUCUUUCAAAACGACAGAAGCAAGAAUCUUAUUUUAUAUUUUGUUGACAUAAAAAUGUAUGUAUGCAUACAUGUAUAUAUGCGUUUUGAUACGUCAAAAAGCUAAAUUAUUUUUGCACUGUAUAGUGUCAUUUAAGUGCAUCGUUUUUAUAUUUAAAUUACUUGUAUUGUAGUGCUAAAAAGCUAAAAUGUGUGAAAGCAACUAUUUCAGUUUAGCAACUGUCUACAGCUUGUUUUUGUUCUUGAUGAGGUAAAAUUCAAUUUUACAUAUGUAUACGAGUUAUUGAUUACUCAAACAAAAGGGAAAUUUUUGGUAUAUUUUACAAGUCUAGUCUCUCAAUUACAAAACAUCUUCAUAGUGUUUUCUUGCUUCUAACGUUAUCAGUCCAAUAUGGCUGCAAUAAAUACUUGAACUUUUACCGCAAAACAUAGAUUGUAGUAUAAAAAGGGAGUAUUAUUGCUGUAAAAAGUUAUUAAUAAGCUGGAACUAAGAGAAUGUGUGAUAAUUAUGAAAUUUAUGAAGGGAAUGAGAUAUAGUAUGU